rnacentral:pre_miRNA from 1 species
ACCGGCUCCUCGUUGCCUUAUUCGCCGGUCGUGAAUAAGGCACCCAGGACUUGGCGA